rnacentral:rRNA from 1 species
AGUGAACGCUGGCGGUAGGCCUAACACAUGCAAGUCGAACGGCAGCACAGGAGCGCUUGCUCUCUGGGUGGCGAGUGGCGGGCGGGUGCGGCAUACAUCGGAAUCUGCCCAGUCGUGGGGGAUAACGUAGGGAAACUGACGCUAAUACCGCAUACGACCUUCGGCUGAAAGAUGGUGAUCGCAAGACCUCUCUCGAUUGGAUGAGCUGAUGUCGAAUUCGCUAGUAGGCGGGGUAAUAGCACACCAAGGCGACGAACCGUAGCUGUUCUGAGAGGAUGAUCCGCAACACUGGAACUGAGACACGGUCCAGACUCCUACGGGAGGCAGCAGUGGGGAAUAUUGGACAAUGGGCGCAAGCCUGAUCCAGCCAUGCCGCGUGGGUGAAGAAGGCCUUCGGGUUGUAAAGCCCUUUUGUUGGGAAAGAAAACUUUCAGGCUAAUAUCCGGUGAGGAUGACGGUACCCAAAGAGUAAGCAACGGCUAACUUCGUG